GAUGAACGCUAGCGGUGUGCUUAAUGCAUGCAAGUCGAACGAGAACUUUUGAUUCGUCGGAAGGGAAAGUGGCGAACGGGUGAGUAACACAUAGGUGACCUGCCCUGGAGAGGGGGACAACCAUUAGAAAUGAUGGCUAAUACCCCAGAUGUUGACCGGUUUAGAAAAGGUUGACUAAAACUCCGGUGCUCUAGGAGGGGCCUGUGUCCCAUCAGCUAGUUGGUAAGGUAACGGCUUACCAAGGCAGAGACGGGUAGGGGGCGUGAGAGCGCGACCCCCCACACUGGUACUGAUACACGGACCAGAUACCUACGGGUAGCAGCAGCAAGGAAUAUUGCGCAAUGGGCGAAAGCCUGACGCAGCAACACCGCGUGAAGGACGAAGGCUCUCGGGUCGUAAACUUCUUUUCUGGGGGAUGAGAAAGGACAGUACCCCAGGAAUAAGCCUCGGCUAACUACG
rnacentral:rRNA from 1 species